rnacentral:rRNA from 1 species
CAGCCGCCACGGUAAUACGAAGGGGGCUAGCGUUGCUCGGAAUGACUGGGCGUAAAGGGCGCGUAGGCGGCGGCCAAAGUCAGGCGUGAAAUUCCCGGGCUCAACCUGGGGGCUGCGUUUGAUACUUGGUUGCUUGAGUGGGGAAGAGGGUCGUGGAAUUCCCAGUGUAGAGGUGAAAUUCGUAGAUAUUGGGAAGAACACCGGUGGCGAAGGCGGCGACCUGGUCCUUUACUGACGCUGAGGCGCGAAAGCGUGGGGAGCAAACAGGAUUAGAUACCCCGGUAGUCCCUGUCUCUUAUCC